UCCAAAUUUUAAAAAAUAAAAUAAUAAAAGCCGGUGCUGCGCGAGGACGCUCUGUAAUGGAGAAGUCUUUAUUUUCCCCCAUUGCAGUCUGGUGCUUUCGGAGCCUAAGUGAAGCAGUGGUUUGGCAUGUUAGCGAGUGUGUGGAAGCUAAUCAGAGAGAGGGGCAUCGUAAUGGACAGAAUAUGGGCGGAAUCACAGAGAGACGGACUGCGGCAGGAGCAAGUAAUAAAACUAAUUUCUCCUCCAUCUUUGUCACCGUGCCGAGGAAAAUGGGGUCAACAGAGGUGGAGGCAACACAAAAUGAACAGCUGUUGCCUUCACACAGCGCGGAUCUGUGGCGGAGAAACUCUGCGAAAUGCGAGCAGAUUUUCCCCCAAAUGCAGAACUGUCUCUAAUACAUCCUGCAGCAACCUGGGCCAAUUGACAGGAAUCCAUCAUAUUACCUGGCACGCUGGCAUGGCACCAGCCCUGAAGCCUGCAAGUCUUUGGAGUGUGGGAGGAGACCAGAGUACCCGGAGGAAACCCAUGAAGCUCUGAGAGGAUGUGGCUGGCCAGGACUUGAAACUGGAACCUCCUUCUGUGCUGACCACUGCACCUCCAUGCCGUCCAAGCUUCAGCUGUACUCUGGAGCAGAUGUGAGCUCUGCGUAGGGUGAAGAUGGAGGAAAGUGCCAGAAGGAAGGUGCCUAAUGUAUGCUUCAGCCUCCCAUGAAAUGGAGUUAUUUUGUGUGGGAAGGGGCUGAUGGUCGAUGCAGGUGUGGCGUCAUACAAUCGACACAUGGGAAAUGGAGCAUGAAUCACCAGGCACAUUGUGAUUGUCCACCUCAGAAUACACCUUAUCUGUCUCCAUAUGAAGGUGUGCAAUGUGGAAGCAGUGUAUAAUAAGGGACACUUUUUCCAGUAUAAUCUAACUACACAGGCAAAUUGCUACCAGCCGUACAGGCAGAGCACUGUGUUUGUGUCAGCAAAUGUCAACAAACAUAAUAAUCUUUAUAGCGUGCUUUGACAUACAUCACUAAGCAGGAUUGUCAAAUAAUCAAUUUUGUCCACCAGCCUGAUUUUCUACUAAACAGUUUGACUUUUAUGCUUGCAUUUGGCACAGGUUUCUACAACUGAUGUAUGUAACUUUGGUGAGACUGAGGUUAAGAAUAAUUGCACUUCAUUGAACUAAUAAAUAACUUUCUUCUCCGAUGUACAUCAAAAAUAAAGUUGCUUCUGAAUCUUUUGUUGAGGCCUAAAUUAAAUAGAAAUUGAUUUUUUUACGUACUUCAUGCCAGGCAGGGAACAGGGAAAUAUGCAAUUUCACCUG